AUUGAACGCUGGCGGCAUGCCUUACACAUGCAAGUCGAACGGUAACAGGUCUUCGGAUGCUGACGAGUGGCUAACGGGUGAGGAAUAGAUCGGAAGGUGCCUAGUAGUGGGGGAUAACUACUCGAAAGAGUUGCUAAUACCGCAUGAGAUCUACGGAUGAAAGCAGGGGAUCGCAAGGCCUUGUGCUACUAGAGCGGACGAUGGCAGAUUAGGUAGUUGGUGGGAUAAAAGCUUACCAAGCCGACGAUCUGUUGAUGGUCUGAGAGGACGAUCAGCCACACUGGGACUGAGACACGGCCCAGACUCCUACGGGAGGCAGCAGUGUGGAAUUUUGGACAAUGGGCGCAAGCCUGAUCCAGCAAUGCCGCGUGCAGGAUGAAGGCCGUCGGGUUGUAAACUGCUUUUGUACGGAACGAAAAGCCCCGGGUUAAUACCCUGGGGUCAUGACGGUACCGUAAGAAUAAGCACCGGCUAACUACGUGCCAGCAGCCGCAGUAA
rnacentral:rRNA from 1 species